GGGAGGGAGGAGAAAAGGAGGGGAGGAGGGAAGGAGGGGUUGGAAGUUUGGUGGGGAGAGAGAGAGAGAGAGCGGGUGAAUUUAAGGAUAUUAAUAAGGGAGGGAAAGUAAAUAUUAUUGGUUUAAUAGUUAAAUGAUUUGUUUUUAUUAAGAUAAUUAUUUUUAGGUGAAAUUUAUAAUUUUUAUUUAAUAAUUUUUGGUUGAAAGUAUGAAAUUGAUAUUAAAAAGGAGGAUUAGAUAGGGUUUUAUUUUGAAUGUAAAGGAUGAGGGUGGGUAGUAAUAGUUAUGUUGUUGAAAGGGAAAGGAUUUGGGGGUAUUUUAGUGGUUUGAGAGGAAYGUGUGGYAUAAUGGAGAAGGGAGGAAUGGAGAUAGUUGAUUUUGUUUAAUGAGUUUGUAUAGGUGGGUGAUAAGAGMAUGUUUUAGAGUAAAAUUUUGUUAAUAUAAGAAAUAUAAURUGUGWGGUGAAGGUGGAAGUUAUAKUUAAGWGGAGAUGGAUUAGAAUAAAUUUAUUUAAAUGGAAUAWAUUAUUUAAAAUUUUAUGAAGGUGGAUUUGAUAGUAAAAUUAAUAUAUUAUUAUUUUGAUUUUGGGUGUAAAAUAUGGAGAGAUGGGGGGUGGGUGUGAUUAUUAAAAUGAGAUAAGGGUAAGAUAGUAGAUGUAUGGGAAGAUGUAUGUAGGAAGUGGAAUAAAAUAGAAAUUAGAGGUUGAUAGAAAGGAUUUGAGUUAGAGUGAAAAAUUUAGUGUGGAAUUGAGUUUAAUUUGAUAAAUGUUUAUUGUUAGUAUGAGUUUGAAUUAAUGUUAAUUUUAGAGAAAUAUGUUUAAUUUUAGUAUAGUAAAGAAGUAAUUUUUUUUGUGAUAGUUUAUUAGUAGUGUGAAGGAAUAAUUGAUGAAAAAUGUUGAAAAUUUUUAUUUUUAUAAGUAGAUUUUAUUUAUUGUAGGUUUUGUAUGAGGGUUAAUUAAAUUUUAUUAAUAUUUUUUUGAUUGUGGAUUUGAGAAGAGGUAGGGGUGUUUAUGAAAAAGAUGUGUUGUUGAUUUAAUUAUAGGAAGUGUGAGGUGGGGAGUGAAAAUUAUUGAAGGGGGGGGGUAUUUUGAGGGUGGAAAGGUAGGAUAAUGAUUAGUGUUUUAAUAGAGGGGUGGUAUGAAAGGUUUGAGGAGGUGGUGAGUGUGUGAUUUAAUUUGAAAUUAAAAUUUAAGUUUUGAGUGAAAAGGGUGAAAUAGAUUUGGAAGAGGAGAAGAGGGUAUAGAGGUUUAUAUUAUAUUUAUUAAUAGUUUUUUGUUUAAUUAUGUUGUAUUAUUAAAUUAAAUAUUUUGUUGGGGUGAGAAAAAUAUAUAAUUAAGUUUUUUAUUUAGUUUAGAUUGAUUUAUGAUUAUUAGAUGGAAUGUUAUUGAUUGAUAGAAUAAGUUAGGUUAGGGAUAAGAGGGUAAUUUUUGUGGAGAGUUGAUAUUUAGAGAGAAGUUUGGGAGGUGGAUGUUGGAUUAAGAUAAUAAUUAGGUGUAGGGGGUUAAUAUAUAGGUGUGUUGGAGGUUUAAAUUGUUAGAU
rnacentral:rRNA from 1 species